rnacentral:lncRNA from 1 species
UGUGUGGGUGCCCCUGCCAAGUGUGUGGGUGGGUGCCCUUGCCAAGUGUGGGGGGUGCCUUCAGGAACUACCUGGAAGUUCAGCCCCGAGAUGGCAAGAACUGGCGUUCUGGGAAAUAGGGCAGUAAGGGAAAAGGGUGUCCUAUUUAGAAAAGUAAAUGGUUCUGAAUUGCGAAGUUUCUCCCCCCCCUUUCUGUGGUGCAGAGUAAAUGAUUCACAGCUAAACAGCUUGCUAUGCCAAGAGCUAGGGACCAGCCAUUCAUUAUGCUCUCAACAGUAAGCCUCAAGGUGACUGCACCUUAGUACUGAAGGCAAAACCUCUCAGAAUGCACACACAGUUACGAUGGCAAUACUCUGCGGCACUGGAGGUUAGCAAGUAUUCUAGAGGAAGCUCCGGAAUGUCCAGCUCCCUCACACCUAACAGGACUUCAUGAAAAGAGAAAUUGAAUAAGCAAGAUGGAAUCCAG